UACGUAGGGUGCAAGCGUUGUCCGGAAUUAUUGGGCGUAAAGAGCUUGUAGGCGGUUUGUCGCGUCUGCUGUGAAAUUUCGGGGCUCAACCCCGAACUUGCAGUGGGUACGGGCAGACUAGAGUGUGGUAGGGGAGACUGGAAUUCCUGGUGUAGCGGUGAAAUGCGCAGAUAUCGAGAGGAACACCUAUGGCGAAGGCAGCUCGCUGGGACGCUACUGACGCUGAGACGCGAAAGCGUGGGGAGCAAACAGG
rnacentral:rRNA from 1 species